rnacentral:rRNA from 1 species
UACGUAGGAUGCAAGCGUUGUUCGGAAUUACUGGGCGUAAAGAGUACGUAGGCGGUCUGGCAAGUCUGAUAUUAAAGACUGGAGCUUAACUCCAGGACUGUAUCGGAAACUGCCAAACUAGAGGACAAUAGAGGAAGUCGGAAUUCUCAGUGUAGCGGUGAAAUGCGUAGAUAUUGGGAAGAACACCAGUGGCGAAAGCGGACUUCUGGGUUGUUACUGACGCUGAGGUACAAAAGCGUGGGGAGCAAACGGG